rnacentral:rRNA from 1 species
GUUGCGGUUAAAAAGCUCGUAGUUGGAUUUCUGUUGAGGACGGCCGGUCCGCACUAUGUGCGUGUAUCUGGUUCGGCCUCGGCAUCCUCUUGAGGAACGUUUCUGCGCUUGAUUGCGUGGAGCGGUAUUCAAGACUUUUACUUUGAGGAAAUUAGAGUGUUCACGGCAGGCAAGCGCCUUGAAUAUGUUAGCAUGGAAUAAUAAUAUAGGAUCUUGGUUCUAUUUGUUGGUUUCUAGGGCUAAGGUAAUGAUUAAUAGGGAUAAUUGGGGGCAUUUGUAUUAACUCGUCAGAGGUGGAAUUCUUGGAUUGAGUUACGACAAACUACUGCGAAAGCAUUUGCCAUAGGAUGUUUUCAUUGAUCAAAGAACGAAAGUAUGGGGAUUCGAAGAU